AGUUGGAAAGCGUCGCCGGCAUCAGUCGCCCCCGCUGACGGCACUUUCCGGGGGGCGGGCGGAAAAGCCCGUCCCCCUUGGCCACCUUCCGAUGGAAACAGCCCCCCUUCGUCGGAAGGACUAGGGCGGUGGAGUUGCCCCAAGCUCCACCGCCCGCUUUU
rnacentral:sRNA from 1 species